AAGUCGUAACAAGGUUUCCGUAGGUGAACCUGCGGAAGGAUCAUUACAGAGAACUUGCCCUUCGGGGUAGAUCUCCCACCCUUUGUUAACAUUACCUAUGUUGCUUUGGCAGGCCAGACAUUUCGUCUACCGGCCUAGGCUGGACAGCGCCUGCCAGAGGACCCAAACUCUUUUAUUUGAAUGUCGUCUGAGUACUAUAUAAUAGUUAAAACUUUCAACAACGGAUCUCUUGGUUCUGGCAUCGAUGAAGAACGCAGCGAAAUGCGAUAAGUAAUGUGAAUUGCAGAAUUCAGUGAAUCAUCGAAUCUUUGAACGCACAUUGCGCCCUCUGGUAUUCCGGGGGGCAUGCCUGUUCGAGCGUCAUUACAACCCUCAAGCUCUGCUUGGUAUUGGGUGUCACACCUGCGUGCACCCUAAAAUCAGUGGCGAUGCCCUGCAGCUUCAAGCGUAGUAAAUCUCUCGCUCCGGAGUCUGUCAGGAGCAGUGCCAACAACCCUCUAUAACAUCAAAGGUUGACCUCGGAUCAGGUAGGGAUACCCGCUGAACUUAAGCAUAUCAAUAAGCGGAGGAAAAGAAACCAACAGGGAUUGCCUCAAUAACGGCGAGUGAAGCGGCAACAGCUCAAAUUUGAAAUCUGGCCUUCUGGUCCGAAUUGUAAUUUGUAGAGGAUGCUUCGAACGUGGUCCGGUCUAAGUUCCUUGGAACAGGACGUCAUAGAGGGUGAGAAUCCCGUAUGCGACUGGGUGCCUAAGUUCAUGUGAAGCUCCUUCGACGAGUCGAGUUGUUUGGGAAUGCAGCUCAAAAUGGGUGGUAAAUUUCAUCUAAAGCUAAAUACUGGCCAGAGACCGAUAGCGCACAAGUAGAGUGAUCGAAAGAUGAAAAGCACUUUGGAAAGAGAGUUAAACAGUACGUGAAAUUGUUGAAAGGGAAGCGCUUGCAAUCAGACUUGCAUGCAAUUGAUCAUCCGAUGUUCUCACCGGUGCACUCAGUUGUAUUCAGGCCAGCAUUGGUUUUGGUGGUUGGAUAAAGGCCUAGGGAAUGUAGCUUCUUUCGGGGAGUGUUAUAGCCCUGGGUGUCAUACAGCCUACUGGGACCGAGGACCGCGCUUCGGCUAGGAUGCUGGCGUAAUGGUUGCAAGCGAC
rnacentral:rRNA from 1 species